rnacentral:lncRNA from 1 species
CUGGACCAGAAGGCCCAUUUCUAGAACUAUCGCCUUCAACGUCCCCAAAAGCAUCCCAAACAUUAUUGACAUCAUGGUACCUACGCUCUAUGAGUCCAAUCCUAGCAAAUGAACACAGUGUAUCCGCUGAAAUUGGUGGCAAAGUGGAAUCAUCAAUGCUCCACUAAGCAAUGUUCUGAACCGACCUAAAGCCCGUCACAAGAGGUAUUGUACCAAAUUGAAUAUUCACCAUGAUACUGAACUUAUCCCGAUGUCUCUUAACUGGUUCUGCGCUUCCUUAUAAGAUGUACAACUGAGACUUCUUCCAUUACUCCAAUGCAACCCGGACACCCAUUUAAACCUUCAAAACUCCUCCUCCACAAGAGAAUUUAUACCCUUUUGUAUUCAGAGUGCUAAGUAAGAUGAGAUUCAUUUUCAAGUCUGGAACAUAUCGAACCUCAUCAAUUGUUCUGACUGUUCCAUCCUGUAACCUUAAUCUAACUCGACUGAUUCCAUCAACACGACAAGACUGGUUGUUUCCCAUCACAACUCUACCUUGCUUGAUGGCCUUAUAUGUCUAAAAGAAAUUUUGAUUAGAACACAUAUGAUGCUAACAUGCCGAAUCGAGAAUCUACUCUUCAUCAAGCUUAGAUUCCUGUUAGAUACCACGAUCAACAUCACAUCUCUGCCGUCUGAAAAAUUCUCAACUGCAUUUGUUUCGUCUAAAGUCAAAAUUUGUGCUUCGUGAUUUGCAGCUAAAUCACCUUUAGCAUAUAACUUAUCACAAUCCUUCCGAACAUGUCCCUUACGUAUGCAAUAGAAGCAAAAUAAAUUACUGUUAUUCUUCGAUCUGCCACUUCGUCGAUUACCAUAAGAUACAAGAGCUCCCUCAUCUCUCGAUGUAGCUCCAACUAAAUGCUUCAACUUCUCCUUUGAGUGCAAAGCAUCAUAGAUGUCGUCUACAGUCAAAGUAUCCCGACUAUAAAAAAUAGUGUCCCGAAAUGACGCAUAAGAGUUAGGCAGCGAACAUAAUACAAUCAAGACAAGAUCAUCUUCAUUGUACUUAACCUCCAACGUUUCCAAAUCUCAGAAAAUUUCCUUGAACAUGGCAAUAUGGUUUUCCAACGACUUUCCUUCCGCUAUGCUAUGGGAAUAUAGCUUCUGCUUUAAAGCCAGUUUACUGGUAAGACUCUUGGUCAUACAUAACUGCUCCAGUUUCAACCACAAAGCAGCUGCUGUUUUCUCCUUUAAGACAUCCUGCUAAAUAUUGUUGGAUAGAUGAAGAUGAAUCAACGAUAAAGCCUUCCAAUCCCUCUAUUGUUUCUCCUCCGUUGUUCAAUUUGCUAACAUCUUCUCAAACCAAUCCUUAGAAGCCCAGUAGUCCUCAUCUUUACUUGCCACAAAGAAAGUAUUCUAUUGCGAUUCAACAGUGGAAUAUCAUACUUCAUGAUAGUCAUCUUUGAAAAAAAUCUCAACCAAUCCUUAGAAGAAGAACUAAGCUCUGAUACCACUUGUUGGACUCGGAAGAAUUGUAGUAAAUGAG